UUGGAAUUUUCCCAGGCUGUGUAAUUUGACUCGGUACAAAACUCUCAUUGGUUGAAUGAAAGCAAGCAAUCAGAGUUAUGAGUCAAAUUACACAGCCUGGGAAAAUUCAAAA